UGAAAAGGAAUUAAAAAAAAAUGCUCUUGGA
rnacentral:piRNA from 1 species